UUGUUUUGAUAUUAUCAACCUUAGUUUCCUUUCUUCAGAUGAUAUCAUGUUCUCAAGCAAGCACUCUACAUCUUUGGUGGAAUCAAUUGGCAGGACAGAUGCAUUAGCAUUUCCUAUUCUCUUCUUGUAGUAGUAGUAGUCCCGCAGACCAAAUCCUAGUUCUUCUUUCAAACUCACCAACCAGACUAAGUCUACUUGUUUCCUGUCAAAUUUAGUCCUAACCCGGCGCACUAAUUGUCCAUCUGCCCCCAAGCAAUGUACCGUUACCUCCCACUCACUUGUCAACUCACAUGAUCUGUAUGUGCACAUAGAUAUCAAAACCCCGCAUCAAUGAAUGAAGAUGCAGUACUACUAGUGUGAUGCGAAAAAAUAAUCAGUAGUAAUCAGCUCUGUGAUUUAUAAAAGCAUGUGCUAAUGAGGCAGCAUCAAAUCGAUUGUACGCGUUAAUUCUUCAGAUAUUUUCUACCCUAAUCCUACAAGGCCUUAAAGGUGGAUGCGAAUGUAACAACUCUGCCUUAAUUAGGUGUAUUUAAACUUAAACAAGUCAUUAGUCACUAACCAAAAGAGGUGAAAUGUCCUUUUUGACCCUAAAAAGCUCUUUUUGGAGUUAAAUAUAAAACUUGAGUUUUUAUAUACAAACUUGAAAUUUUGCCCAAAUAAGAGUUGUAAAACUUUAAAUUUCAAACAACUUUUUCUAAAAACACUUUGGCUAAUCCGGAGUGGAAGAAGGUCAAAAACAAGAAUCAAACUAGAAGUAUAAUAAAACCCGACAAACAACCUAAGUCCUAGAAUUCAAGUUUUUCUUCAAAUUUCCAACCUGUUAUCUCACAAUUU
rnacentral:lncRNA from 1 species